rnacentral:rRNA from 1 species
UACGUAGGGGCAAGCGUUGUCCGGAUUUAUUGGGCGUAAAGAGCGUGUAGGCGGCCAUACAGGUCAGCUGUGAAAACUCGAGGCUCAACCUCGAGACGUCGGUUGAAACCGUAUGGCUAGAGUCCGGAAGAGGAGAGUGGAAUUCCCGGUGUAGCGGUGAAAUGCGCAGAUAUCGGGAGGAACGACCGGUGGCGAAGGCGGUUCUCUGGGCCUUACCUGGACGCUGAGGAGACGAAAGCGUGGGGAGCGAACAGG